GCAGAAGUACGGCCCACGAGCUGCUGGAAGACGUAUGGGUGAAACGGUAUCCGGGUUUACUGGAUGUAAAGGGCGCGCAGGCGGUACGGCAAGUCUGAUGUGAAAGCCCGGGGCUCAACCCCGGUACUGCAGUGGAAACUGUCGGACUAGAGUGUCGGAGGGGUAAGUGGAAUUCCUAGUGUAGCGGUGAAAUGCGUAGAUAUUAGGAGGAACACCAGUGGCGAAGGCGGCUUACUGGACGAUUACUGACGCUGAGGCUCGAAAGCGUGGGGAGCAAACAGGAUUAGAUACCCCAUAGUC
rnacentral:rRNA from 1 species